rnacentral:rRNA from 1 species
GAUUAACGCUGGCGGCGUGCCUAACACAUGCAAGUCGAGCGGCAGCGAGUUUUACACUGAAUUCUGGAAGCUUCUAGUUGAAAGAGAAGAUUUAUUCAAGAAUUUUGUGUAAAAUGUCGGCGAGCGGCGGACGGCUGAGUAACGCGUGGGAACGUACCCCAAAGUGAGGGAUAACGCAUCGAAAGGUGUGCUAAUACCGCAUAUGGUCUUCGGAUUAAAGCCUUCGGGCGCUUUGGGAACGGCCUGCGUAAGAUUAGACAGUUGGUGGGGUAAUGGCCUACCAAGUCGACGAUCUUUAACUGGUUUGAGAGGAUGAUCAGUCAGACUGGAACUGAGACACGGUCCAGACUCCUACGGGAGGCAGCAGUGAGGAAUCUUCCACAAUGGGCGAAAGCCUGAUGGAGCAACGCCGCGUGCAGGAUGAAGGCCUUCGGGUUGUAAACUGCUUUUAUAAGUGAGGAUUAUGACAGUAACUUAUGAAUAAGGAUCGGCUAACUACGUG